UACGUAGGUGGCAAGCGUUGUCCGGAUUUACUGGGCGUAAAGCGAGCGCAGGCGGACUCUUAAGUAGGAAGUGAAAGGUUGGAGCUCAACUCUAACACUGCUCCCUAUACUGGGGGUCUUGAGUGCCGGAGAGGAAGACGGAACGACACGUGUAGCGGUGAAAUGCGUUGAGAUGUGUCGGAACACCAAUGGCGAAAGCAGUCUUCUGGACGGAUACUGACGCUCAGGCUCGAAAGCCAAGGUAGCAAAC
rnacentral:rRNA from 1 species